rnacentral:lncRNA from 1 species
UUUCCCCCAACUAGAAUAGUAAGGAAUUUUCAUACUGUGCUUCCAGGCAUACUGAAUUAUAUUAUGCUUCUGCUUUGGUUGUUAUCAGUAAUUAGUUGUGCCUUUGUUGUCACCAUAAUGAACCAUGAUGAAGUCUGCAUUACCCUUGUGGCCUUAUCCAUAGUUGAAAUCAGGGAGGUUGAACUGUGUCUAUCUUUCUGCACACAAUAUUUCAAAACAAUUAGUCAUUUUUUGGAUCCCACUAAUCUGAGGAUGAUAAAACUAGAAAUUAUCUUAGGGAAAGAGAGAAAAGUAAACAUUCCAUAACUAAUGAGUGGAAAUGAGAAUAAUAUAACAUUUUAUUUGAUGUCCCAUCAUCAUCAUUAUAAUUAGAUUUAAAAGGAGUCUACACAAUAAUAAAGACAGCAUAAUCAAAGUGCCAAAGCUUCCUGUCGAUGUGGAUUCUUGGGGAAGACAGCCCGUUAUCCCUAGGGUAACUUUUAUCCGUUGAGGAUAUUUCCUAUAAGGACCCUAAGAAACUAUAGCAUAUACAUCUCCCACAAACAAGACAGGGCUGUCUAAGAAACAUGUUCUAAUGGUUAAUUGCAAUUGCUAUUGUGCUAGAAACAAAUUCCAACAGUUAACAUAUAAAAAGUAAACAGCUAGCUGGGCAGGUAUGGCUAGUAGCACACUACAUCUGUCACACAAGAUAACUGUAAAAUCUUCAGCUAAACAGUUUGAUUGUUCUGUAAAUGCACAAUAUAAGUUCUAUAUUCUUAGGGUACCAUUGUCUUUGUGCCUGCAGGAAGUCAAGCCCUCCUAUUAUUCAAAUCGCAUUUAAGUACACAGUGCUUGUGCACAAUGGUGAUACAUCAGAUGCUCCAAAUUCUGGUAGCAGGUACAUUUGUUACAGCCUGUGAUCAGUCAUUCAAGUAGCAUGUUACUGUUUUUGAGUUCUGUGUUCAUGUAGUGUGUUACAUUUGUGUACAAUUUAUAUUUUGUGGUAUUGUCAUUUCAGUGUCAAUAUUAUUAUGCUGCAAACUUCUCAAUCUUAUGUGACAUGUCCAUCUUCCAGUGUAGACAAAGUAAAAGUUUCUGUGGUUUUGUGAUGCUUGGUUCACAACUUGCUUCUUAAGCCUUUUCUAAUUAUUAGCUUGAAAAUUGUGAUUCUAGUGGAAAUUCUAUACACGAUGAUAGGGUGGUGAUAUCUUUUGUAACGUAAUACCUUGCAGAUCUAAAUACUCAUUGGAGAGGAGGCUAAGAGUCCGGACUAUCCAGUACAACACAACUGCUAAUAUCUGGGACCUUUAUGAUUUUGUUGAUCCAGAUGUUGUUUUGACAAUACUGGUACACCAGGUACAACCUUUAUCUAUAUUUUGUUGAUGCAGCAGAAGUCUGAUGCAAAACUUGUUUGUUGUAGUCACAUGAUUUUGAUUAAUGGGCAUGCGGCACAUAAUUAGAAAGUUUGAUGCAUUUCUGUAUGUAGCAAGCGGGUGUAUUGCCAAAAGCAGUGACACCCAUAGGAAAAACUUUGCCACCAAGAACAGUAGGUAACCAAGUGAUGCAGUGUAAUUUGUUUGGUCCACCAAAUGUUUGAGUUCCCCAAUUUGAAAAAUGCAGUCAGAUUUUAUGUUAAUGCAAUAGAUCUGGAUUUCACCGGUUUUAGAGUGUCAUUGUAAAGACUAAAGAGUGUUCUAUCUAUAAUUCAGGAUAAUGAAUCCUAUCAUGGCUUAAAUUCUCUCUAAAAUCAGCUCAUUUAGACAUUUACCAAAUAUAAUCCUGAACGGGACAUGCUAUAUCUUGUGACUGCAUGAUUUCACUUGGCAUUCUGAGCAUAGAUAAUUCUGUUUCCAAUACAAUGUACACCUUGGUGACUGAACAAACAGGAGGAAGGUGUUUAUGAUUACCAUACGUAUUCCAUGUUGAGUUGUUUAUAGCAAGAUAUAAAUAAUCUAAAACGCUUAAAGGGUAAUUGCAAAGAAGAUCAUUCUGUUUCAGAUCUGACCAGAGUUCAUUUUCAGGUUAUUUUGUCUUCUUUAAGUGAUGUGCUAGAAACAAGGCUGUGGCUCCAAGAUUGGUUUUUGGCUGUCAUUGCUCAGUACAAUAAAGCAUACAAGAAUGUUACAUCUGGAGGUGGUACUGGGAUGUAUGACAUUGAUGUUAAUUUCUCACACUGCUCACAACUGCAGCCUCUGUCACGAUUUGUAUUUGCUGUUCUAUUAAGCCCCCUGCUUCAAGUCAACAGCGAACUUAUUCAUCCAGAUUAUGUGACAUUUUUGCAAUGCCUCUUCAGGUAAUGCGGGUCUUCUUCAUACCAUUGAAUUGUUAGAACUAAUCACUAGGUAGAGUAAAUUAUGAUGAAGUUUGUUGAGCUGAAAGAUCUUUUAAAGAUGAGAGCUUAUAAUUGUUUUUAAGAAGAACAAGGCCCUUGAACCCAUGAUCUGAUCUGCCAAUUAGGAGACUUUAAAAUCAUGGUCUCUUUGUUCUAUUCUUAUUGAACUAUGUAAGUAUGGUGUUACAUAUUCCAAUUUGGUUAACUAUGUUGUAUCAAACACAACUCAUAUAAAUGUGGAGGCAAGUUAUAUAGGCAUUGCAUGCAAGUUUUUAUACAUACAACAGCAUUCAUGAUGCUUGAAUUAUCUCAUGGGUGGUAGCUGAACCAGAGUGUACAUACAUUAGAAGUUCCGUGGAUCCUAGUGACUGAUCUACUUAUUUGACUAGAAAAUUAAAUCUUUCAAAUUUAACUGUUUGGUUUUCUAAUAUCGUUCUUCAUCAUAUCUUACUUUUGGUUGUCCAAUUUCUGGUGGUUAGUUUGGAAACAUCUAGCUUGAUUUCAAUUCACAUUAGAUCAUUCAGUAUUAUUUACAUCUAUUUUGUUGACAGUGCACUGGAGCCAGCUUCGCUUCGGCAGGCUAUUUGGCCUUCCUUGAUUUCAUACUUCUCCCCUGAUGUAGAAGCAGAAGUGCAUCAAUCGCUAAGUCGUACCGUGUUCACCAGUGAGAGCCCAAUAUUUCUUCUUGAUGCGUACAAAGAUCUUCUGGUGUAUUACUCGCCUACAGCUAGUAGUGAAAUCCCUUUUCCUCCUCCACGUGACUGUGAGUCCAGCAUCAUACCUUUCGUUCAUCAUGCACCUCACUAAGUCAUUUAUCCAACCAAUGUGAGUCCUAACAACGAAAUGAUGUUGGCAGGUCUACUGAGAUCAACAAUUGAUAGAUUAAAGCAAGAAAGGAACAUAACACCCAGACUUGUGCUCAUUCAUGGAGCACGUGAUGACACUACAGAAUUCGAGAAAUACCUUGUUGAGGACCAGUCCUUGGAUGGCUCCUGGUUAUCAAGC